GUCCUACGGGACGCAGCAGUGGGGAAUAUUGCACAAUGGGGGGAACCCUGAUGCAGCGACGCCGCGUGAGCGAAGAAGUAUCUCGGUAUGUAAAGCUCUAUCAGCAGGGAAGAAAAUGACGGUACCUGACUAAGAAGCUCCGGCUAAAUACGCGCCAGCAGCCGCGGUAAUACGUAUGGAGCAAGCGUUAUCCGGAUUUAUUGGGUUUAAAGGGUGCGUAGGCGGAAUGCCAAGUCAGCGGUAAAAUCGCGGGGCUCAACCUCGCUUCUCCGUUGAAACUGGGGUUCUUGAGUGGGCGAGGAGUA
rnacentral:rRNA from 1 species